CAUAGGCAGUGGCUUGGUUAUGGGAACGGAAGCCACCCGCGCCGUAGCGAAAGCGAGUCUUAAUAGGGCGAUUGUCACUGCUUAUGGACCCGAACCUGGGUGAUCUAUCCAUGACCAGGAUGAAGCUUGGAUGAAACUAAGCAGAGGUCCGAACCGACUGAUGUUGAAGAAUCAGCGGAUGAGUUGUGGUUAGGGGUGAAAUGCCACUCGAACCCAGAGCUAGCUGG
rnacentral:rRNA from 9 species